rnacentral:rRNA from 1 species
AUUGAACGCUGGCGGCAGGCCUAACACAUGCAAGUCGAACGGUAACAGGAAACAGCUUGCUGUUUCGCUGACGAGUGGCGGACGGGUGAGUAAUGUCUGGGAAACUGCCUGAUGGAGGGGGAUAACUACUGGAAACGGUAGCUAAUACCGCAUAACGUCGCAAGACCAAAGAGGGGGACCCUCGGGCCUCUUGCCAUCGGAUGUGCCCAGAUGGGAUUAGCUUGUUGGUGGGGUAACGGCUCACCAAGGCGACGAUCCCUAGCUGGUCUGAGAGGUUGACCAGCCACACUGGAACUGAGACACGGUCCAGACUCCUACGGGAGGCAGCAGUGGGGAAUAUUGCACAAUGGGCGCAAGCCUGAUGCAGCCAUGCCGCGUGUAUGAAGAAGGCCUUCGGGUUGUAAAGUACUUUCAGCGGGGAGGAAGGGAGUAAAGUUAAUACCUUUGCUCAUUGACGUUACCCGCAGAAGAAGCACCGGCUAACUCCGUG